rnacentral:lncRNA from 1 species
AACAAACGGUCGUAUUGAAUACGAUGAGAGUAGUUCAAUGAACUUAUGACUUUGAUAAUCAAAAAGAAAGAGAAUAUGAAGAUAAUUGUGUCUUUAAAUUCCUGCAUAACAUAUAUUAUGUAUUAUAAGCUUUGUGGGUGAGUGUGUUUUAGUUAAAUUGAUAUUUUUUUCGUUUUUAUUUGGUAUAUUAGAUAUUUUAAGCUUACUAAUCAAUUUUUGAAUAUUUUGUUUGAACAACAAUUUGACUAAAAAAAUUAUUUUAACAAAUUUUUAUUCAUUAAAUGUUUAUGUAUAUCAAUAUAAUUUCUUGUAAUUUUAUUUAUUAAAUGUUUAUUCAUAUCAAUGUAAUUAUUUGUAAUUUUAUAUGUUUUAUAAUUUCUUGUAACAAAUUAUUUUAACAAAUUU